rnacentral:rRNA from 1 species
GUGUGACUGCGUACCUUUUGUAUAAUGGGUCAGCGACUUAUAUUCUGUAGCAAGGUUAACCGAAUAGGGGAGCCGGAGGGAAACCGAGUCUUAAUUGGGCGUUAAGUUGCAGGGUAUAGACCCGAAACCCGGUGAUCUAGCCAUGGGCAGGUUGAAGGUUGGGUAACACUAACUGGAGGACCGAACCGACUAAUGUUGAAAAAUUAGCGGAUGACCUGUGGCUGGGGGUGAAAGGCCAAUCAAACCGGGAGAUAGCUGGUUCUCCCCGAAAGCUAUUUAGGUAGCGCCUCGUGAAUUCAUCUCCGGGGGUAGAGCACUGUUUCGGCUAGGGGGCCAUCCCGGCUUACCAACCCGAUGCAAACUGCGAAUACCGGAGAAUGUUAUCACGGGAGACACACGGCGGGUGCUAACGUCCGUCGUGAAGAGGGAAACAACCCAGACCGCCAGCUAAGGUCCCAAAGUCAUGGUUAAGUGGGAAACGAUGUGGGAAGGCCCAGACAGCCAGGAUGUUGGCUUAGAAGCAGCCAUCAUUUAAAGAAAGCGUAAUAGCUCACUGGUCGAGUCGGCCUGCGCGGAAGAUGUAACGGGGCUAAACCAUGCACCGAAGCUGCGGCAGCGACACUCAGGUGUUGUUGGGUAGGGGAGCGUUCUGUAAGCCUGCGAAGGUGGCCUGUGAGGGUUGCUGGAGGUAUCAGAAGUGCGAAUGCUGACAUAAGUAACGAUAAAGCGGGUGAAAAGCCCGCUCGCCGGAAGACCAAGGGUUCCUGUCCAACGUUAAUCGGGGCAGGGUGAGUCGACCCCUAAGGCGAGGCCGAAAGGCGUAGUCGAUGGGAAACGGGUUAAUAUUCCCGUACUUGGUGUUACUGCGAAGGGGGGACGGAGAAGGCUAUGUUGGCCGGGCGACGGUUGUCCCGGUUUAAGCGUGUAGGUGUGUGUUCCAGGUAAAUCCGGUUCACUUUAACACUGAGGCGUGACGACGAGGCACUACGGUGCUGAAGCAACAAAUGCCCUGCUUCCAGGAAAAGCCUCUAAGCAUCAGGUAACAUCAAAUCGUACCCCAAACCGACACAGGUGGUCAGGUAGAGAAUACCAAGGCGCUUGAGAGAACUCGGGUGAAGGAACUAGGCAAAAUGGUGCCGUAACUUCGGGAGAAGGCACGCUGACAUGUAGGUGAAGUGAUUUACUCAUGGAGCUGAAGUCAGUCGAAGAUACCAGCUGGCUGCAACUGUUUAUUAAAAACACAGCACUGUGCAAACACGAAAGUGGACGUAUACGGUGUGACGCCUGCCCGGUGCCGGAAGGUUAAUUGAUGGGGUCAGCGCAAGCGAAGCUCCUGAUCGAAGCCCCGGUAAACGGCGGCCGUAACUAUAACGGUCCUAAGGUAGCGAAAUUCCUUGUCGGGUAAGUUCCGACCUGCACGAAUGGCGUAAUGAUGGCCAGGCUGUCUCCACCCGAGACUCAGUGAAAUUGAACUCGCUGUGAAGAUGCAGUGUACCCGCGGCAAGACGGAAAGACCCCGUGAACCUUUACUAUAGCUUGACACUGAACAUUGAGCCUUGAUGUGUAGGAUAGGUGGGAGGCUUUGAAGUGUGGACGCCAGUCUGCAUGGAGCCGACCUUGAAAUACCACCCUUUAAUGUUUGAUGUUCUAACGUGGACCCGUGAUCCGGGUUGCGGACAGUGUCUGGUGGGUAGUUUGACUGGGGCGGUCUCCUCCUAAAGAGUAACGGAGGAGCACGAAGGUUGGCUAAUCCUGGUCGGACAUCAGGAGGUUAGUGCAAUGGCAUAAGCCAGCUUGACUGCGAGCGUGACGGCGCGAGCAGGUGCGAAAGCAGGUCAUAGUGAUCCGGUGGUUCUGAAUGGAAGGGCCAUCGCUCAACGGAUAAAAGGUACUCCGGGGAUAACAGGCUGAUACCGCCCAAGAGUUCAUAUCGACGGCGGUGUUUGGCACCUCGAUGUCGGCUCAUCACAUCCUGGGGCUGAAGUAGGUCCCAAGGGUAUGGCUGUUCGCCAUUUAAAGUGGUACGCGAGCUGGGUUUAGAACGUCGUGAGACAGUUCGGUCCCUAUCUGCCGUGGGCGCUGGAGAACUGAGGGGGGCUGCUCCUAGUACGAGAGGACCGGAGUGGACGCAUCACUGGUGUUCGGGUUGUCAUGCCAAUGGCACUGCCCGGUAGCUAAAUGCGGAAGAGAUAAGUGCUGAAAGCAUCUAAGCACGAAACUUGCCCCGAGAUGAGUUCU